UACGGAGGGUGCAAGCGUUAUCCGGAUUUACUGGGUUUAAAGGGUGCGUAGGUGGGUUGGUAAGUCAGUGGUGAAAUACUUUCGCUUAACGAAGGAACUGCCAUUGAUACUACCAGUCUUGGAUACAGUGGAGGUAGGCGGAAUGCGUCAUGUAGCGGUGAAAUGCUUAGAUAUGACGCAGAACACCAAUUGCGAAGGCAGCUUGCUACACUGUUAUUGACGCUGAGGCACGAAAGCGUGGGGAUCAAACAGG
rnacentral:rRNA from 1 species